AUUGAACGCUGGCGGCAGGCCUAACACAUGCAAGUCGAGCGGAGCGGCGGACGGGGGAGUAAUGCCUAGGAAUCUGACUGGUAGUGGGGGAUAACGUACGGAAACGGGAGCUAAUACCGCAGACUCUCUGCGAAGCAUAGGUCGGAUUAGCUAGUGGGUGGGGUAAAGGCCGAACAAGGCGACGGUCCGUAACUGGUCUGAGAGGAUGAACCGUCACACUGGAACUGCGACACGGUCCAGACUCAUACGGGAGGCAGACGUGGGGAAUAGUGGACAAUGGGCGAAAGCCUGAUGCAGCCAUGCCGCGUGUGUGAAGAAGGUCUUCGGGUUGUAAAGCACUUUAAGUUGGGAGGCGUUACCAACAGAAUAAGCACCGGCUAACUUCGUGCCAGCAGCCGCGGUAAUUC
rnacentral:rRNA from 1 species